GACAGAGGGUGCAAACGUUGUUCGGAAUUACUGGGCGUAAAGCGCAUGUAGGCGGCUAUACAGGUCCGCUGUGAAAACUCGAGGCUCAACCUCGAGACGUCGGUGGAAACCGUAUGGCUAGAGUCCGGAAGAGGAGAGUGGAAUUCCUGGUGUAGCGGUGGAAUGCGUAGAGAUCCGGAAGAACACCGGUGGCGAAGGCGGUCUGCUGGGCAGUUGCUGACACUGAGGCGCGACAGCGUGGGGAGCAAACAGG
rnacentral:rRNA from 1 species